AGCUCCAGGCUGAGGUGCAGCCGCCACCCUACGUGGCGGGGAGCGAGGUGUCAAACUCCGUCAGGUGGAUGCUGUGACAGUUCACAUCUUUGGCUUCGAAUGAAAUACAGUGGAUAAAAAGGCAAGUGAAUGUAUCAGGAUCUCUCCAGUUCUACCAACGUACCUACAGAGGAGACUAAAUGAAUCAAAUUGAAGUGUUCUCUGCACCACUAUACUGGGGUCUGAAGGCAAUUUUAUGUGGCUUUUAUACACCAAAGUUGAUGUGAAUCCUGUGAUAUGAGGUGUGUUCACCAUUUGGGCUCAUCUCUAAUACCGGAGAUUCCGAGAACCAGAGGAAAUGAGGAGGCCCUGAGAGAACCUUCGCGAGAUGUGUCCAAGCAGACCCGGGCACACAGUUGGCACUCACAAACAGUGCCGAUCAGAACGAGAUGGCUCGCCUGUCCCUAAACAACCAGUGGUCCUCAGUGUAUCAGGAGGUCUGACAAAAGAAAAAAAAAAAAAAAAGAUGCACAGAGAGGAAAUGAACUGAGACAACAUCACUCCACAGCAACCGGAAGGAAAAACAGCCACAAGGUCACCAUUCACAGCCUGCGUGUGCAGUUGCUCCGUGGGGAAAUGCUCACAGCUGCCUUCAGAAGCAAGUCUAGCGGCUGCAGCAACACAGAAGCACGGCCACGAGGCAGGACUGAGCCGCCACCUCCUGCCUGCCUGCCCAGAGGGAGGGCAAGGACCCAACCAGAGGAUCCCGCAGCAGCCAUUCGCCCUGGGCUCAAGAAGCUGUGAAUUCCUUAAUGUCAUACACUGGCCUGAGAACAUCGUGUAUUCUUUAAGCAGAGUUAUGAGAACGGAGAACUUGCUCAGCCGACUAAAACACUGGAAUUGUCCUUUUCAAGACCCAGAGCUCCAACAUUCCUUGGCUUAACAGAC